ensembl:snoRNA SNORD42 Small nucleolar RNA SNORD42
GAGCAAAUAAUGGAAAAAUCACGUUUAGGAAAAAAGUGACAUAAAUAAAGGAACCACUGAAGCAC